rnacentral:rRNA from 1 species
AGAGACAGCAGUAGCCGCGGUAAUACAGAGGGUGCGAGCGUUAAUCGGAUUUACUGGGCGUAAAGCGUGCGUAGGCGGCUUCUUAAGUCGGAUGUGAAAUCCCUGAGCUUAACUUAGGAAUUGCAUUCGAUACUGGGAAGCUAGAGUAUGGGAGAGGAUGGUAGAAUUCCAGGUGUAGCGGUGAAAUGCGUAGAGAUCUGGAGGAAUACCGAUGGCGAAGGCAGCCAUCUGGCCUAAUACUGACGCUGAGGUACGAAAGCAUGGGGAGCAAACAGGAUUAGAUACCCGGGUAGUCCCUGUCUCUUAUAC